AGUGUCCACGGGCACUGGCUACUUCUAGAGUGUCCACUGGUACUGGCUACUUCUGAAGUAUCCACGGGCACUGGCUACUUCCCAAGUGUCCACGGGCACUGGUUACUUCCCGAGUGUCCACGGGCACUGGCUACUUCCGGAGUAUCCACGGGCACUGACUACUUCCGGAGUGUCCACAGGCACUGGGUACUUCCGGAGUGUCCACGGGCACUGACUACUUCCGGAGUGUCCACAGGCACUGGCUACUUCCGGAGUGUCCACAGGCACUGGCUACUUCCGGAGUGUCCACGGGCACUGGCUACUUCUAGAGUAUCCACGGGCACUGGCUACUUCCGGAGUGUCCACGGGCACUGGCUACUUCCGGAGCGUCAGUGGACGUGCUUUCGUGCCUGGUAUAGUGUAGAGCUGUGUUUCUGCUGGUGGUGCUGGGGGUUGGGUGGGUGUAAGGGUGCCAGGCGCCCACACGUCCCCAGGAAGACAUGUCUGGUGCCAGGGGCACCACCAGGACAAGCCAAGUGCACAGAGACCAUGUGGCCUAUCUCCACCCUGCAAACCAUGGGGGCUCCGCAGACCCUGUGCCAUCUGCCCGUGGUGUCAGUCACUGGUGUGGUUGUCAGGUACCCUGAGGGGGAAAGGGUUGGGUCACAGCACACACUAACCCAGGGGACAGAGCUUCCCUGCCAGUCCCUCAGCGCCCCCUCCCUGCCACGGCCGACUGGACCUGGCCCCUGUGUCCACCAGAGCCUGGCCUGGUGUUGCAUGGAGAGGGAGAACUGUGCGGUUCAGUGCUGAGAGCUGGGCUGCCCUGAUGCUGGGCUCAGGCCUCAGAACACAACCCCAGCCCAAGCUCCCAGUGUUGGCUCCCAGAGUGCUCCCCCACACCCCUCACCUCCUACAGGACGCGGUGCAGGCCACGUGCAGGAGGGAGCAGUGGUCCCCAGGCUGGCCCACACUCAGACACGCAGCCCCACUUGCUCAGUCCUGCCCAUGAGGGAGCAGACAGGGGCCUGGGAGUGGGCAGAGGGGGCACGGGGGAAGCAGCACCAGGGACUCCCCCGCCCUGCCCCCUCGGCUGCUCUCACAAGGUCCACACGUCUGCUACUCCGCAGUCUGUCUGUCACAACCUUGGUCAUUUUCUGCUGCCCAGUGCAGCCCAACACCACAAGAAAGGGAGACAGGAGGGGCAGGCGGCAGGUGUGGCAGCGAAGUCACAGCUCAGACACCCACACCCCGAUUCCAGCUUCUUGCUGACACACACCCUGUAGGCAGCAGGUGGCCCCUCGGGUGUUUGGGCUCCUAUCAACUCACAUGGGAGACCUGGCUGUGGCAGGCAUUUGGGGAGCAAACCAGUACAUGAAACAGCUGUCUCCUUGCCUUUCAAAUAAAAUGAAAACUUUUUUUUUUUUUUUUCA
rnacentral:lncRNA from 1 species